UUUUCCACCAUACCCCUACAGCUUAGGCUUAGUUUUCACAGAGUAAAUAGUAGUACUACUACUUUCUGUUUUUUUUUUAAUUUCUUGAAGACAAUAUUCAAGCUCCAUUAAAAGAAAGAUGGUAGCAACAAGGUCAAGUUUACAAGCACCUAGCUCUUCUUCAACACUCCAAGGUCGGUUUCCCUAUAAGAAGAAAAGGAGCUACAGAAAAGUCUCUAGGAUUUGCGGAACCAUCAUCAAAUGUUAAACGAAAUACACCUCAACUAUUGGUGGAAACAACUUAUAGUUGAUGUGAUAAGUAUUUUGGAGAUAGUUUAGAUAGGAAACUCGUGCAGUUCAGUGCCAACAAAAGCUCCAGCAGUUCCCUCACCACCUGUGCCUUCAAUAGGAUCAAAUGAAGAUACUCCUUUGUGUGUUUCAACAAGCACAAAUGCAUCAAAGCCCCCACCUCCUGUGCCACCGUUGGGGUCAACCAGUGAUAGGACUCUCCUAAUUCCUUGUGAUGAAGAGGAGGAACAGAGAGAGACAAAGUUAAAGUUAAAUCCUUUAUCAAGACUGAAGGCAGCAAAAGAAACACAUACUAAUGCAAAUGGACAUUCUUCCCAAAUGCAUGAAAAAUCGAAGAAAGUGAUCAGUGAUGAAGUCAAGUCUAUGUUGGUGUCUCAUCUCACUUCUGGGAUGACUACUAGCGUGGAUGACAUGGUUACUUUAGCCAAUCAUGCUUUCACCACAUUGAAUUGGUUUGGUGCUUAUUAUGGUUCAUUCUACAAAGAUGUCAAGGACUUGAUUGCUUGCAAAUAUGAUUUACUCAUUAUUGAGAGAAAACUAGAUAUGUUAUCUAUUGCAGAAUUGGAGAAAAAAUAUCUCGACAUUGUUAUUUUUGCAGAUGAUAUCGAAGAGGAGAUUGAACACAUUCAAGUGAAUCAAAAAAUGGAUGAGGAGAAAAAGUAACCUCUGAAGAUGCAAGAGAGCUGAUUCGCAGACUGGAACGUGAGGUUGCUGAUAUUGAACAAGACGAGAAGUGCUUAAACCAUGAUGAGAAAAAAUACAAAGCAGCCCAUAAGAUUGCACAAGCUAAGGUAUAAAUACUUGGUACACAAAUGGAAUGGAGGCAGCUAGAGAAAUGCAGAAGGAAAUUGAGCGGCACAAGAAUGAAGCUCUCCAAGGGUUUGAAUCCACCACUCAACGCCUACUGUCUUACAAAUAGCAUUUGGUGCAGUUGCUCCUCAAAGUUUCUUGUUCAGUUUUUAAGUACAUACAAUUUGGACUUAAAAGAAUCAGAAUGUUCUUUUCUUCAGAUAUCAUAUCAACUUUUAUUCUAUUAUGAGUAUUGGCUGUUUAAAAAGUUUGAUGUCAUAGAAAAAGAGAAGUAAAAAAAUGAAAUGAUGGCAAGGCUUUAUUCAGUCUUUUAGCAUGUACAAUCUUUAACUUGUGGC